rnacentral:rRNA from 1 species
CCUACGGGUGGCAGCAGUGAGGAAUAUUGGUCAAUGGAGGCAACUCUGAACCAGCAACGCAGCGUGCAGGAUGACGGUUUUAUGGGUUGUAACUCGUUUUGUUAGAGGGAUUUAUUGCGUUAUGUGACGCAUAUUCCCCGUCUACCUCGGUUCCGGCCGCCGCGGUACUACGGCGGCGGCAAGCGUUACUCGGAAUCACUGGGCGUAAAGAGUGCGUAGGCGGGGUAAUAAGUCAGAUGGGAAAUCCUGUAGCUUAACUACAGAACUGCAGUGGAAACUGUUGCUCUGGAGUGUGCGAGAGGUAGGUGGAAUUCGUGGUGUAGGGGUAAAAUCCGUAGAGAUCAAGAGGAACACUCAUUGCGAAGGCGACCUGCUGUAACAUUACUGACGCUGAGGCACGAAAGCGCGGGGAGCAAACAGGAUUAGAUACCCUGGUAGUC